rnacentral:hammerhead_ribozyme from 1 species
ACCUAGCUGACGAGUCCCAAAUAGGACGAAACGUGCGUCUUGGAU